UUGGUCCGGCGCAACUUUCAAUCAAUUUCUUUCACUAUCGAGAAGUGUUUGUGGCUUUCUCCGGUAAUUUUCUAAUAAUUUUUGUUUGUUACUCAACAAUUUAAAAUUAUUUCAUUGUUAAUUAUUCUUAUUAUUAAUCUUUAAUUGAUGGAGAAAUUUGAGUAGUAGUUGUUAUCCUAAUUUUCAAUCAUCCUUUAAAACUGCAUGCUAUGUGUUUGUGAUAUUGUCUCUGUUAAUAAUAAGUCUAAUGCUAUAAUUUUUUAAACACAUUUGUCAAUUUGAGUUUGUGAUUUGUGUUGGUUGUUGCUUAAUUUGUUCAUACUCUCAUUUGUCAAUUUAAGUUAUAUAUAUUCUUUAGUUAUCCCUUCUUGGGUGAAAUUUCGACAGUAACAAAUGUGGUUCACUUCAGAGUCUUGUAGGCUUGUCACUUGUGAUACGAGGAAUGAGUUUAAAUAGUUAGUUUGUGAAUGCUAUGAAAGAUACAGUUCAUGUAACAGUAUAGUGAAUUGUGAUUUAUAUGGCUAUUAAUUGUUUUCUGCAUUCUAUAGGACUGCUUUCUCGUUUUUACUUAUUCCUCAUUUAUAUGCCUAUGUUUGGUUUGGUAGUGAGAUUGGAAAAUCAGGGUGAUGCACGUCUAUUUUAACAUUAUAACUGGUUUGGUGUGAUAAAGACAACUAUAGAAAUUAGUGUGUAGUGUAAGUGUUGUAAAUCUAGAGUAUCAUCGAAUUUCAAGGUCACUGCAAUUUUCAUUUGUCAGAAGUAAUUUUAGGACACUGUACACAAUACAAGCUUUCCUCUUGUAUUGAAUCUUCUUAUUAGUUCUGAAAAUUUUCCCACAAUUAUUGUUACCAAUUUUUUUACUAGAACACAGUUCUUACUUAUAUGCUUGCUUUAAUCAUGUGAAUGCAAAAAAUCUAUUUAAUUAUGCUAACUGUAAUUCACUGUAGUUAAUGAGAGUCUGAUGCGAAAGCCAAAUUCUAAAACUACCAUUUUUGAUGCCAAAGCAAAUGGUUUCAAAAGAUUUCUUCUAGCUACUUGUAAAGUGUGUCUCUAUUUAUUUUCAACUAGAGUGAGUUUGAUAUUAAAAUAAUUAAAGUUAUAAAAUUUUAUACAAUUAUUUACAUUAAUAAAAAAGAAUAAAAUUAACUGUAAAAUUGAAAGUGAAAAACUUAUACCAAACCUUGGUAUCCAUGCAUAUAUACAGGUGCAGGGAUAUUUAAAAAAUCCAGUUAUUUUAUUAAAUAAAGUAAUAAAAAAAUUAUAGAUAAAGUAGUUUAAAUGAAUAGUAAAAUUAAAAAAGAAACAUUUUCUAAGCUUAAAGUUUUUCCUAUUUUGGAUUGAGCAUAUAUCUUCGCUCUAAAUUUUGUAGAAAAAAAAGAAAGUAACCGAUGAUAUCUUACUAAGCAUAUGUGUUGCUAAAGAAUUGUUUUGAUUUUGCAGAAUUGGGGAAAAGUGAUAUGCAAUGACCUUGUUUUUAUAGGGACCACUUUUAGGAUGCUUUCCCAAUUAUACCUGAAACUCAAAGCCAUCUUAUUCCCAUGUUUGGUCUUCUCUUGCAGAUUUGCCAAUACUUCUGAUUGUGUUGCUCAUCCUAUUUGAGAAAAGUCCCAAUUCAAACAUUCAUAUCAUUUCAUCUAAUGAAUGUGAGUUUAUAAGUAUUCAACUUAUGGGACAGGAUGCAAUUUAAUUUUUGCAUAUUACAUUUUUAAAAGCAAUGAAAAGUCUUAAACAUUCGAACAUAUAGAAGUCUAAUAAUUAGAAUACAAAAAUGUUGAAUAUUAUGUGUACCUUUAAAUUACGAAGACUUUGACAAAAUUAUAUUGAUACUAUGUCUAUAAGGCAGAAGAGAGUACUAGAACCUGUGGCAAAAACAAAAUUUAAUAUAAAUUUUGUUUUUUGAAGGAACAAAAUUCAAUAUUAAUCUUAUAUCAAUUUUUCUGUCCUGGGAUUUGGGGAUUAAUUCGGGAGUAUAUGCAUUUAAAUGAGUACAUGUGAACCCCCAAUUGAUAUUUGCAGUAUUAAUUAAUGUCAUAUGCUUACAAAAGUACACGACAGCUCUACUGGGCCUUCCAAUUUUCAAUGAAUGGUGAAUUAUGGCUGCAUGUAGCAUAUGGCUACUUGCAUGACAGCCAACAAAUUCAUAAAACUAGCUUGUUGCUGCAUUGUUAUUUUUAUGAUCGAUCUAAUUCAAUGCAAUGCAACAACAAAUGCAGUCUUGCACAAGGUGACUAGGCCAUAUGGCCUAAUGGAGUCCACCUAAUGAAGAAAUUAUAUAAUGUAACUUCACAUUUUAACUAGAAAUUUUGCAUUUUAAAAAUUGGCAUCGUUUCAUUAUAUAAAAGUUACAGAAAACCAUUUAUUUGGUAGUUAAACUAUUAUUCUCUUUAAUUUGAUCUUCUAACUAUGAAAAUAUGUUAAGUAGAAAGUAUCUAAGAAAUGAAACUGAUAAAUAAUAAUAGUUUAAUGAUUACUUAUUGUAUAUUUUAUACUAGUAGUUCAUAUACUAAAUCGAAUAUUGAUGAUUUAUUCUAUUACUAUUAUUUAUGAAAUGUGAAUAAAUUAGUUGACCUUUUAUAUAGACCCAAUAAUUUUAUCUGCCUUGUUUUAUCUGAAGAGUUUAUAUCAGUAAAUGAUUAGCUCGCGAAAACAAACUUGUGGUGUCAUUUUCCUCUCUUGAAUUGCCGACAUAUAUAAUUUGAUAAGAUAGGAGUAAUAAAUAGUAGCUGAACUUUAUGUUUUAUUAUUUUUUUCAAUUAUUAACAUGCAUUACCCUAUAGCUAACAUGCAGAAACUUUGGAGCUUCGAAUUGAUAGAUGCUUUUAAUCCUUUUUUCUCAUUGUUGAUGUAAGAGCCCCUGAAUCUUAAGAAAUGGGAGGCAUAAAGAGGGAAAAGGAAAUAAUUAGUUAGUGGAAAUAAUUUCAAGUUUCAAUGUUUUUCAUCUCUAUAAUGAACAAAGUAAUAAAACUGUUCCAAUUGCAUUCAUUAAAACAUGUUAUUUUAUUUAUUUAUAUGCUAAUUCAUCUCUAUGUGAUUUUAUUUGCUACACUUUAAUGAAUAUUUUAUUUUUGUAGAGCUUUGGGUGAAUAUAAUAAGUCGCGAAGAUUAAGAAAGAACAAGCCCACAUGGAGCAUUCCCAUUGUAAGUUGUUUAGAUUAUAUAUAUAGAAUUUCAAUUAUAAUUUAUAUGUUUUUAUCUAUAUAAUACUUACUCAUUAUAAUUUACAUAUAAUAUUCAAUUUUAGUGUCAAAGACAACCUAAAGGUUAUGAGUGUGGUUACUACAUUAUGAUACAUAUGUUGAACAUUGUAUCUAGUGGUCUUGUUGAUUCAUGGAUGCAGGUAUGUGAUAGAUUUUUUCAAAGUUAGUAUUAAUUAACUACUAAUGAUUUUUAUGGUCACAUGAUUUAGAUAACUUUGUUAUUUCAAUGUUUAUAAUUCAAAUAUUUGGAGAA
rnacentral:lncRNA from 1 species